CGCUGAACUUAAGCAUAUCAAUAAGCGGAGGAAAAGAAACAACAGGGAUUGCCUCAGUAACGGCGAGUGAAGCGGCAACAGCUCAAAUUUGAAAUCUGGCCCCAGGCCCGAGUUGUAAUUUGCAGAGGAUGCUUUUGGCGCGGUGCCUUCCAAGUUCCCUGGAACGGGACGCCACAGAGGGUGAGAGCCCCGUCAGGUCGUGCAACCAAGCCUUUGUAAAGCUCCUUCGACGAGUCGAGUAGUUUGGGAAUGCUGCUCUAAAUGGGAGGUAUAUGUCUUCUAAAGCUAAAUAUUGGCCAGAGACCGAUAGCGCACAAGUAGAGUGAUCGAAAGAUGAAAAGCACUUUGAAAAGAGAGUUAAACAGCACGUGAAAUUGUUGAAAGGGAAGCGUUCAUGACCAGACUUGGGCCCGGUUGAUCAUCCAGCGUUCUCGCUGGUGCACUCUGCCGGCCCAGGCCAGCAUCAGUUCGCUCCGGGGGACAAAGGUUCCGGGAACGUGGCUCCCUCGGGAGUGUUAUAGCCCGGUUCAAAUGCCCUGGGGUGGACUGAGGUCCGCGCAUUGCAAGGAUGCUGGCGUAAUGGUCAUCAACGACCCGUCUUGAAACACGGACCCAAGGAGUCGUCUUCGUAUGCGAGUGUUUGGGUGUAAAACCCCGGCGCGUAAUGAAAGUGAACGCAGGUGAGAGCUUCGGCGCAUCAUCGACCGAUCCUGAUGUUCUCGGAUGGAUUUGAGUAAGAGCAUACGGGGCCGGACCCGAAAGAAGGUGAACUAUGCCUGUAUAGGGUGAAGCCAGAGGAAACUCUGGUGGAGGCUCGCAGCGGUUCUGACGUGCAAAUCGAUCGUCA
rnacentral:rRNA from 1 species